GAUGAAGAACGUAGCGAAAUGCGAUAAGUAAUGUGAAUUGCAGAAUUCCGUGAAUCAUCGAAUCUUUGAACGCACAUUGCGCCCUCUGGUAUUCCGGGGGGCAUGCCUGUCCGAGCGUCAUUGCAACCCUCAAGCGCGGCUUGUGUGUUGGGCCUCCGUCCUCCUCCCGGGGGACGGGCCCGAAAGGCAGCGGCGGCACCGCGUCCGGUCCUCGAGCGUAUGGGGCUUCGUCACCCGCUCUUGUAGGCCCGGCCGGCGCUUGCCGACACAUCAAUCUUUUUUCCAGGUUGACCUCGGAUCAGGUAGGGAUACCCGCUGAACUUAAGCAUAUCAAUAAGCGGAGGA
rnacentral:misc_RNA from 1 species